AAAAUUUUGAAACUUAGCCAAACGAGAAAAUGAGAAUCAAAAGUGCCGGCCGUUAGUAGGAAGUCAAGCCGAACACUCACCCUAGCCUAAGUAGCCUUCCUUCAACUGAGGGUCGCGCCGAUGAUGUGUUCUAGCCUUCAGCAACCGCUGGACCUUUGACCCGGCGACCAACAAGAGCUUAGCCGGCACGGUGGACAUCUCCUCAAGCUGCUUCAAUGCUUGCCUAGUCACCGCCAAUCUGUCGCCACAAAAUCUCAAGCCCAGGCACAUCGAAGCA
rnacentral:lncRNA from 1 species